CCAGUUUGGUUUCCCUGGUACGCCCUGUUGGUUGCUCUUGUUGGUUGCUCUGUUGGUCAGCCCUGUUGUUGCCCUGUUGGUCAGCCCUGUUGGUCAGCCUGUUGGUUGCUCCUGUUGGUUGCUACUUGGUCCUCCUGUUGGUCAGCCCUGUUGGUUGCUCCUGUUGGUUGCUCCUGUUGGUUGCUCUUGUUGGUCAGCCCUGUUGGUCAGCUCUGUUGGUUGCUCCUGUUGGUUGCUCCUGUUGGUCAGCCCUGUUGGUUGCUCCUGUUGGUCAGCCCUGUUGGUUGCUCCUGUUGGUCAGCGUGUGGUUGCUCCUGUUGUGUCAGCCCUGUUGGGUUGCUCUGUUGGUUGCUCCUGUUGGUCAGCGUUGGUGCUCUGUUGGUUGCUUCUGUUGGUCAGCCCUGUUGGUUGCUCCUGUUGGUCAGCCCUGUUGGUCAGCUCUGUUGGUUGUCCUGUUGGUUGUCUGUCCCCGUUGGUCAGCCCUGUUGGUUGCUCUGUUGGUUGCUCCUGUUGU
rnacentral:lncRNA from 1 species